AGCGGCGGACGGGUGAGUAACACGUAGGUAACCUACCUAUAAGACUGGGAUAACUUCGGGAAACCGGAGCUAAUACCGGAUAAUAUUUCGAACCGCAUGGUUCGAUAGUGAAAGAUGGCUUUGCUAUCACUUAUAGAUGGACCUGCGCCGUAUUAGCUAGUUGGUAAGGUAACGGCUUACCAAGGCAACGAUACGUAGCCGACCUGAGAGGGUGAUCGGCCACACUGGAACUGAGACACGGUCCAGACUCCUACGGGAGGCAGCAGUAGGGAAUCUUCCGCAAUGGGCGAAAGCCUGACGGAGCAACGCCGCGUGAGUGAUGAAGGUCUUCGGAUCGUAAAACUCUGUUAUUAGGGAAGAACAAACGUGUAAGUAACUGUGCACGUCUUGACGGUACCUAAUCAGAAAGCCACGGCUAACUACGUGCCA
rnacentral:rRNA from 1 species